rnacentral:tRNA from 1 species
UAAUUAAACUAAUUCUUGA